GGGGGCGAUCGGCAUCGACGGAUAGGCUGUGAGUCGGGGCUGCGAGCCGAGAUCUCCGGUAUCUCGUUAAUCCCGGAACCCUAAUAACUGCCAACAACGAACUGGCACUCGCGGCUUAAUUGCCGUGACGUCCGCCUGACUUCCCGCCGAUCGGGUCAGGGCCGGGCGUAAUUGGAUCGGCCGAAGCGUGCGCCUUUGCUCGAUUAGCGCACGGGGGUAGCAGAAUCGAGCUCUCCGUAGUGGACCCCGCGCCCGGGGGCCGCCUCGGAUAAGAAAGCGGGCGCUACGCUCGUAGAUGCUUCGGACACCCCUGUUCGGACGCGGGUUCAAUUCCCGCCGCCUCCACCA
rnacentral:tmRNA from 1 species